UACGUAGGGUGCGAGCGUUGUCCGGAAUUAUUGGGCGUAAAGGGCUCGUAGGCGGUCUGUUGCGUCGGGAGUGAAAACUCAGGGCUUAACCCUGAGCCUGCUUCCGAUACGGGCAGACUAGAGUUCGGCAGGGGAGACUGGAAUUCCCGGUGUAGCGGUGAAAUGCGCAGAUAUCGGGAGGAACACCAAUGGCGAAGGCAGCUCGCUGGGACGGUACUGACGCUGAGGCGCGAAAGCGUGGGGAGCAAACAGG
rnacentral:rRNA from 1 species